AGGGGGAGUAACAUCCGGAAACGGAUGCUAAAACCGCAUAGGUCUUCGAGCUGCAUGGCUUGAAGAGGAAAAGAGGCGCAAGCUUCUGCUGAUGGAUGGGCCCGCGGUGCAUUAGCUAGUUGGUGAGGUAACGGCUCACCAAGGCCGUGAUGCAUAGCCGACCUGAGAGGGUGAUCGGCCACAUUGGGACUGAGACACGGCCCAA
rnacentral:rRNA from 1 species